rnacentral:rRNA from 1 species
UACGUAGGGGGCUAGCGUUGUCCGGAAUCAUUGGGCGUAAAGAGCGUGUAGGCGGCUCGGUAAGUCCGCUGUGAAAGUCGGGGGCUCAACCCUCGAAUGCCGGUGGAUACUGUCGAGCUAGAGUGCGGAAGAGGCGAGUGGAAUUCCUGGUGUAGCGGUGAAAUGCGCAGAUAUCAGGAGGAACACCAAUUGCGAAGGCAGCUCGCUGGGACGUCACUGACGCUGAGACGCGAAAGCGUGGGGAGCAAACAGG